rnacentral:rRNA from 1 species
UACGAAGGGGGCUAGCGUUGCUCAGAAUCACUGGGCGUAAAGGGUGCGUAGGCGGGGCUUUAAGUCAGGGGUGAAAUCCUGGAGCUCAACUCCAGAACUGCCUUUGAUACUGAAGAUCUUGAGUUCGGGAGAGGUGAGUGGAACUGCGAGUGUAGAGGUGAAAUUCGUAGAUAUUCGCAAGAACACCAGUGGCGAAGGCGGCUCACUGGCCCGAUACUGACGCUGAGGCACGAAAGCGUGGGGAUCAAACAGG